ACGGUCUCAUCACGUUUAAACACCGGUUACCGUACGAUCACCGGAGUUAAGCAACGUCGAGCCUGUUCAGUACCUAGGUGGGUGACCACUUGGGAAUACG